CCUACGGGAGGCAGCAGUGAGGAAUAUUGGUCAAUGGACGCAAGUCUGAACCAGCCAUGCCGCGUGCAGGAAGACGGCUCUAUGAGUUGUAAACUGCUUUUGUACGAGGGUAAACGCAGAUACGCGUAUCUGUCUGAAAGUAUCGUACGAAUAAGGAUCGGCUAACUCCGUGCCAGCAGCCGCGGUAAUACGGAGGAUUCAAGCGUUAUCCGGAUUUAUUGGGUUUAAAGGGUGCGUAGGCGGUCGGGUAAGUUAGAGGUGAAAUCCCGAGGCUCAACUUCGGAAUUGCCUCUGAUACUGUUCGGCUAGAGAGUAGUUGCGGUAGGCGGAAUGUAUGGUGUAGCGGUGAAAUGCUUAGAGAUCAUGCAGAACACCGAUUGCGAAGGCAGCUUACCAAGCUACUUCUGACGUUGAGGCACGAAAGCGUGGGGAGCGAACAGGAUUAGAUACCCCAGUAGUC
rnacentral:rRNA from 1 species